rnacentral:lncRNA from 1 species
GCUAUGUCAUGUGUCAAAACACCAGAAAUCCUCAUUUAGCUGGAGGGAAACUCUGUACAGAGAUGGCUCUGAAACCUCAAGCAUGCAAGGCCUUGUGAUUUCUUGUUUUUUCUCCCCCAGGAUGUAGGUCUCUUGGCUUCUUCUACUGAACAUCUGGGGAAUCUCACUGUGAGGGUUCGAGAGUCUGGGGAGCAGGUUAUCCAAGAAGAAAGGUAGAACAGGCCAGGGUAGACCAAGAGAAAAGGAGAAGAGAUGGGCUCCAAAGAUCUGGACCAUACUGGAUCAUAUUGUUACAAGGAUAGAGAAGCUCCUUCUACCAAUAUAGUGUACACUUUGGUCAAAUAACUGUGGUCCCAGGAAGGGACAUGCUACAGAAAGAGCAACAAAGAAUAUCAUCAGUUUAAGCCAUGGAUUAAAAUCAUCACUGUCACCCUUCCUGGACUUUUCAUCUCAUUUUUGAACAAGAGAUAGCCUUCACUUGGAGCAAGUGGAGGUGAAAAAGACUCUAAGAGCUGUGAGCCCAUCAUUUGGAAUCAUCCCAAUUCCUUGACCUGGACUGUUUAUUCUUUUCCAGCCAUAACAUUUAUCAUGCCAAUUCCCGGGCCUCCCUGAACUCUGAGCUUUGACUGCAGCUGGGUGG